CGAGGAAGUUCGCGCGGCGCACCUGCCGGGAGCGGCCUUUCUGUCUAAGGCUUGAGAGUGGGAGGGCAAUAGGCGGGACACGGGCGUGUCGCGGGCGUUCCCUAGGUGCGGCCAGUUAAGUUUCGGUUUCCUUGAUCGGAGGCCAUGUUGCGCCUGCGCAGUUGGUCUGUAUUGUUCCCGGGCGUGGGCUGCAUUUUCCCGGCCAGGAAUCAAGGACCUCUACUGCACGAAAAAUGCUGAUUGCUGUCACAUAGACCUCAAACAGAAUGGAAUCUCAGACGGACCAGAACCAGAAAGUAGGUCCGUCUACUCAUCACAGUACUAUGGAUUGUUAACAAGUGUUAACCGACACAAUCUGUAGCUGAUGAGUUUACAGGUCAGUUUAUUUUUAUUUUACCUGUAUUUUCUGUAAUGAUCAAGAAUUCCUUUAUAUAGGCAAACAAUAUUAAAAAUUACAAAUAUUUUACAAGGCAUAAAAACAGUAGGGGAGGAGAAAAGGAAGGAAUAUAGAAAAGAAAAACUCAAAUGUAAAAUGACCAAAGUGUAGAAGAACUUAGGAGCAAUGAAAAAUAUGGGAUGUGGGGAGGGAAUGUAGGAAGGCUGAAUAAGAACUGAGGGAGAAAGUUUCUUGUGGGUGGGUGGAAAAAUGGUGAGCUGAACUGGGAACAUUGACUGAAGAGCUGGGUGAUACUUUAGGGAAAUAAAAGGAUGGUGAAGACAUAUAGAAAGAAGUCUGAUAACACAGAAGGAAUUCAGAAUCCCAUUAGACAAAUUUAACAAAGGGAUUGCAAUAAUUAAA
rnacentral:lncRNA from 1 species